rnacentral:rRNA from 1 species
UACGUAGGGUGCAAGCGUUAAUCGGAAUUACUGGGCGUAAAGCGCACGUAGGUGGUUUGUUAAGCCAGCUGUGAAAUCCCCGGGCUCAACCUGGGCACUGCAGUUGGAACUGGCAAGCUAGAGUAGGGUAGAGGGGUGUGGAAUUCCAGGUGUAGCGGUGAAAUGCGUAGAUAUCUGGAGGAACAUCAGGGCGAAGGCGGCACCCUGGACUCAUACUGACACUGAGGUGCGAAAGCGUGGGGAGCAAACAGG